GGUCUCGAUCACCUGACCUUGUGAUCCGCCCGCCUCGGCCUCCCAAAGUGCUGGGAUUACAGACGUGAGCCAACUGUUCGAUUUUUCCUUUCCGUAUUCUGUUUUUUGGAAGCGAGUCACUAAAUCCAGCCCACACAUUGGGGGGAAAGAAAUUGAGCUCCACCUCCCGGAGUGGGAAGCCACUCCUCAGACCAGGAUUAGAAGAUUUUUCUUAGGGCUUCUAUUUUCACCCAGUGCAUGGUUCUAGAUUUCAGGUCACCUUUGAGUCAAGGACACGAUGGGGGAAUCCUGGAGGAAAAAUCAACAGGAAAUUCACCAACAGUUUGCUCUUACUUGAAGUUGUUUCCUUGGCAGAUUCACCCACUAUCAUUUGCUUUUCAGAGUCCUUAGAUAGCUGCUCUAUGAUUUAUUUGCAGGGUUUUCAGUUGCUUUUAGUAGGAGCAAGACAGAGUGAAGGGUGCAUAUACCAUCUUGAUUGGAACCAGAAACCCCUCAUUUAUUUUUUAUUCUCCAAUUAUGUCACGUACUCCCAUUCACUCAUUCACAUAUCCCUCAUUCUUUUAUGCAUUAUUAUAUACCUGCUUAUAAAAUCAUACAUAUGUCAAUGAAUACCCCUGAUUUGACCACAUAAUCAGGUGUUAUGCUAGUCACUACAGAUACAGACAUGAAAUAUUGUUACUAUCUCAAAAAAUUCUUGGGCUACAAAGAAAACAGAUGAAUUAUUAGAUGUAAAUACAGUGGAAUGACUGCUAUGAUAUAUGGAAGCCCCAACUGCCUUAAAUGAGGGGAUCUGUAAGGAAACAGCCGCCUGGCUUCAGGAAGUUGUCUCCUUUGGGGACAAGUCAACGUGGGGUAGGCAAGCAUUUCACUUUGAGAGGACAGCAUGCACUGAGGCACUGGAUUAGGAAAUCAAGGGGGCACGUUUGAAGAAGUGGUGUCUUACCUCCAACCUAGGCCUCCCUGAGAUUUCAGGACAGGGGUAUGACUGAACACAAUCCUAGAGUGGAGCACGAGGACUCCUCCAAGGUCAUCCCUGAGUUUAGAAAAUUUACAUUUGGUGGUUGGUCUCUCCUAUCCUAUUCUCACCCAUCCUGGGAAGUUCCAUCUGCUUGGUUUUCUAUUAUUUGCAGUAGUGUAGGCUUUGUUUCAAGGACCCUGGCCAGUUUGUCAGAGGACAUGCACAUCAUCUAUGAAGGGCAGAAAAAGCAGCAGAGCCUGACUUUGCAGCUGCGUCUGAAAAAGGGUCAGAGUAACCUGGCUCCCACCCCGUGUUCAAGUCCAAGAGGACCCAAGUCCUGAGAUUGACCAGUUAUCCUCAAGAGCAUUCCAUCUGUCUCUUUUCUCCUCGAUUCCAACCCCUGGGGGCUAAGAUUCAUUCCCGCGAUACGUGCAGGUCCUACAGCCUCUCUGGCCCUUCCCCUGUGCUUGGCCAAUUCAUUCAGCCAUUUAUUCAUUCAUGCACGCGUGGAUGUAUCCAAGUGUAUUCCACUCAUAUUCUAUGCCAGACCUUGGUUUCACCAUCCCUUUCCUAUGAAAAUUUUGUUUUGCCUUCUACGCUAUUUCCAUUUUUUCUACCUCAAUGAUUAUUUCUUCCACUUUCUUUUGUUGGAUUCUAUUUCUUUCUCUACUCUAUAAACGUGGAUGGACCACCUUUGAACUGUUCUCAUAAUCCGCCCUACUCCCACAUUCUUUAGCCCUGCUGUACUCACAGCCAAGGCAGCUGUGCAGUCCAGUGGUGAGACAGGGAAGGGAUGCAAGCGUUUUACUCAGUCACUUAGUCUGCCUGCCAGAGCCUCAAUUCCAGUAGCUGGGAUUUUCCCCUUAUUUCUGAGACAUUAAUGGGAUCCCUAGUUAUAGUCAUCUCUUGUGCUUGUGUCCCCUGUCCCUAAAUUUCUCCCUUGAAAAUGUGUUGGGCUCUUGCUGCUCCUAGCCUUUUGUUUCCUCCUAUAAUUGGAGCUCCUUCACCUGCAAACUCAACACCAGGGCCAGCCCCCCAUCUUGGAACACAGAAUCAGUUCCCUGUGGAUCUGGUCCAGUCUUCACUGCAUGCUUCAGUAUAAAGAGAAAAGCACAAACUGGGGUCAGAUUCAUCUGUGCUCCAAUUCAAAAUUGUGUGAGGCAAGUUGUGCAACUCUUUGAUCUCAGUUUUCUUAUUGUAAAAUUGACCACAGGCAAAAUUUCUGUUAUCUACUUUCUGUUAUCUACCUAUCUUAUCUAUCUAUCUACCUAACAAAACCCUAUGUUUAUAUAGAUAUCAAGUAAUCACAAACUUCUGGGGAGGAGGUUGAAGCCCCCAGUGGGUUAAUCUUGAUCUAAGCCAAUCAAAGUAAUUCCUUUAUUUUGCCAACAACUGCUUUAAGUAUGUGCAUGUGUUGAAAUUCUGGCCAAUGAGGCAUGAGGGGUAUGUUUGCUGGGAGACACAGGGAAAGCAUUUCUGCAAAAGAAAAAGGAGCCUCAGGGAAAGAAACACAUACUUUUCUGCCCCAGAAUGUUGUUAUCUUAUGUGAUGCCUGGGCUGUGUUAGCCAUUGCAUGAGGCUGCAUGUGGCAGACCAAAAGGACAUGCCAUUCCCCCGGGGGAAUGGCAAGGUAGAUUAAUGAGAAAACCUGGUUCUGGAUAACACUGUUAAGCCGCUUAAUCAACCCUGAAACUCUGCCUCCUCCAGUCUUCUUAUUGCAUAAGACUUUUUUUUUUUUUUUGUUUAAGUCAUUUUUAGUUGAGUUAAUGCUACUCACAGGCAAAACUAUUCUGAUAUACGGCAUUAGAAUACCUAUCUUACCAUGUUCAAAUAAGAGACUCUCUGCUCAUCUUUUAGAUCUCAGUCCAAAUGUCACCUCCUCAAGAAAGUCUUCCCUGAUUGUUCAUCCGAGCUCACAUUGUUCUGUCAUACAUUUGCCAUUAGCACUGUGUAUCGUUCCUUCUUUUCUUUCAUAGCACUGACGAGCGUUUGUUUAUCUGGUUAUUCACCCUCUCCCUCACUAAUCUAUAAGCUCUGGGAAGGCUGGCAGUGUUUCUUUUGCUGACCACUGUGUCUCUUGUAGCUAGAAUGGUGCCCAACAUGUAAUUGGUUCUUAAAUAUUUGUUAAAGAAUAAAAAUUAAUACAUGAAUAUCAAUAGGAAAAAAAACUGGUACAUAGCAGGAAAGUUUAUCUUUGUGUCCUUUCUGAGACUGAAAGUUGAUCAACUCUCUCCUUUUUUUCAUGUUGACAGAUGACUUUGUACCCAGUCAUUGGCUGAUGUGUUUCAAAACAACUUUAAAUGUACUUUGAAAUGCGCCAUUAUUUCAUCCCCUCAGGAGCCGGUGCAAUUCCCGCCACCCCUUGCUACUAUUCUUUCAGCAUUCAUGACAGUCAAGCAAACCCUUUCUUUGAUUUUUCUUCCUCUACAGGCUCUAGGUGACUGAUUAGUCAUUACUUGUGAAUAAUGGCCAGGGAGGUUGCUGAGCCAUGGAGGAAUCUGGCCACCUGGCCACUGAGCACUCAGCUCUCAGCUAGUAAGAUAAAAGCAAUUUUGCCACCAACACCAUCCUAAUAGGAUGUCCAAAGAGUUUCCUUCCACUGUUCAGUAGGGACCAUGAGGAUCAUGAAUGGAAGGUGAUAUGAGGGUUUGGGGAGGAAUAAACUGGAACAGCUUGUCAUCCCUCAGGAGUAUUUCGGAAACAAGCCAGCACACCAUGGUAAUUUAUUUUUGUGACACAUUAGUUUGCCUUGGAGGGAGAAAGUAUGAGAGUUUGGAGAGUUAGAGUUUACAGGGAGAGGGGCAGAGCUUAUCCUUAGUUCUCUCUUAUCCACUGACAUGGAACAACAAGGAUGGAUGGCAUUAGUAACAAUAAUAAAAAUUACAGGCUCAAAGGAAAUGGAGUUGACAGCAGAGAGUACACAUGGUUAGUUAUCUAGUCCAGCAUUUCUCAGAAGAUAUUUGGCAGAGCACAAGUCUCUCAAAUGCCCUUUGCUAAAAGGUUCAUGGUUAAAUUACUGUUCUUGGAGAACAGCAUGCACUUACUUGUCCACCACCCCACCCCCAGCCCUUUUGACUGUACUUUGCUCAGUAAAUAGGAAGGUCCCUGCAUUAUAAAUAAAUCAACUGGCUUUGUCUAACCCAGUGUUCUGGUGUUCAUUUCACCAAGGAAACCCUUAUUUUAAAAAAUGAAUAUUAACAGCUUCUGGAAGGAAGAUAUUUUAGGAAAUGCUGAUGUGAGCAAGGGUGGUUACUAGGUACUCUUAUCUAAUAUUUACUGAGAAAUUUAUUUAUUCAUUCAUUUAUUAGAGAAAGAUAUAUUGAGAGACUCCUUUGUGUAACGUAAUGGGCUGGGAGCAACGAACACAGAUUUGGCCAAUGCCUGCCUGAAGCUUAUAAUCUAGUGCACAAGACGAAAUCAAUUUCCCAAUUAAUUUCUUUUUUAUUACUGUGGUGAGUCUACAAUGAGGAGCGUAAGAUAUAUGUAAAUUUAAAUAAUGGUAUAAAAUAGAUGGUUAGGGGUAACCAGGGAAGCCAUGCUGGUUGUCCGGGACCGGGGAUGUCCUGUGAUGGGUGACUUUCAGUUCUAAAACAAAGACAGUCCUGGGCAAAUCAGAAUGGUUGCUUACCCUAAUAGACCAUGACUCCUGGAGUGCCAUCUGAAAAUCUUAUUAUGGCAGAGAGAACUCUGCCAGGCCGGAGACCUGUUCUCUGGGGUUGCUUCAGCUCCCUGAGCCUGACUUUCUGUCUCUGGGGAGUGGAGGUGAUGAAGUCUCCUUUCUCUUAUGUUUUUUGGGAAUAACAAGUGGAGUGAUUCCUAUAGAAAGCCUUUACCAGAUAUCACACGCUUCCUAAGCACAAGGGAUGAGUAUUCCUUUAGGGAAACUGUAGUUUGUCACUCCUUGAAGGAAAGCCCCUAUUUCUCCAGAAGAGGGUUUUCAGAGCACAUCUCUCGCCACACAUCCAGGUUUCUAAAUCCUCCAGCAAGAAGCGUUUUUCACAGAUCCAAGAACAGAAGCACCUGCGUAAGUUCACAUGGGAGGUGUAAAUCAUGGAGGGGAGCCAUUGAGAUGCUUCAAGACAGCACUUCCUCCAGGCCAGAGAAGGCCUCAGCCCAAGAAGCAGCUUCCUGCUGCUAGGCAGGGUGGGGACAGAGGGCAGUGCCUGGCCUCUGCAGAACCAAAGAGCAGGCUUGCAGUGGGCUUGUGUACUCAGGCGAGUCUCAUGAUCUUCUGGGGUUUUAAUGUCUUCCUCCGUAAGGUGGGAAUAUUGAUUUUUAUUUCAUCCAAUUAUUGGGAACUUUAUACUACUGCUACUAAUAUAGUCAGAAUUUAAUGAAUUUACCAUGCACUAGAAAUUGUGCCAUGUGUUUACAUAUACAUUUAAUCACCACAAAAAGUAGAUUUGGUUAUCUUCCAUCUGACAAAUGUAAAAAAUGGGGCUUAGAGAGGUUAGGAGGCUUGCCAAGGUAGGGUGACCAAUUGUCAUUGUUUGCCCAGGACCAAAAGUCCCACAUCGUGGGCAAUCCCUUAGCCCCAGGGAACCUGGGAUGGUUGGUCAAGCUAGAAAAUCAUACAAUUAGCAAGUAGUGGAGCUGAUAUAUAUUUGAGGUAGAAGAUUAUUUGUUAAAAUUGCUAAAAACACAACCAGCAACAAUUAUUAUUGCCAUUUUAUAUAGUAUGUAUAUAUCAUAUGCUUAUAUAUAAUGUAUACAUAAGAUACAUCAUAUUAUUAAUAUAGUAACACUCAUUAUUUGAUGAACUGCAAUUUCAGUAUAAACAAAGGGCUUCUAGCCUUCUAAGAAAGCCCCUUUCCAUUAAUAAUGCUCAUCUAACAUUAGUGCUACUCAUCAGUAUUUAUAGUUUUCUUCUUUCUGUGCCCAGAACCUUUGAUCUCAGGCAUGACCAGGUGAUUUGUUUUGACCAAUGAAAUGUGAGUGCAAGAGAUGUGCAUCACUUCGGGGCAGAAACAUGCAAGAAUCAGGGUGCAAUUUUUCAUCUUCCUUGCAGUAAAUGCUGAUGGUGCCUCUCCCAUAUCAUUUUUGCUGGCUGGGACACACUCCUCAGCUGCUGUGAGGGUUGGGGUGCUAACAGAUCAUAACUGUCUCUGCUCAGCAGGGUUAAGAGCACCAAAUCCGGAGUCAGGCCACCUAGUUCAAGUCCAGCUCUGACAUGAAAGGCUGUGUGCCCCUAGGCAAGUUGCUUAACAUCUCUGAGCCUUAGUUUUCUUAUCUCUAUAAGGGAGAAUUCCUACCUUAUACCGUUGAUGUGAGGAUUAUAUGAGUAAUGCUUUUAAGACUCUUGUAACAGUUUGGCACAUAGUAAGCCCUAAGGUUGGCUGUUUUUAUUUCUCCUGCUUUACUUGUUCUCUAGCAUAGUAUGACAGUGCAUACCAAGGUUCCUCAUAUGUUGCUCAAAAGACAAUUUUGAUUAACAUGUGGAGAGCCGAAUUCCAGAGAUGCUGAGCAAUUUCUUCAGCAUCACAUGGGGCUUAAUACUGGAGUUUGAAUAAGAACCAAGACAGGAGAAUGAGAGUAAUAACAACAAGUCAGCAAUUACUAUUCACUAGGUACUGCAUUAUCUCAUUUAAUCUUCACAAAAGCAUCUGAGUGGGACAUUAUUAUAACCUUCAUUUUACAGAUGUGGAAAUAGAAGCAAAAAAGGUGAAGUAAAUUUUUACUGUUAGUAGGUAGUGGCAGAGUUAGAAAAAAUAGAAAUUUGAUAUUUUAGGAUGAACUAUUAUUUAGCAACAAAAAUGGGAACUGUAAUUACUAUGUUUAAACAAUGUGUUGAGUAUUAGUUUCUGUUUAGAAGAGUAAACAUGAUUGCUUAUUUAUUUAUACAAGUAUUACAUACAACAUACACUAUUUUAUACUUUGCUCUUUAUAAAGUGACCUUUUAAUUUUAAGAAUAUCUAGAUUUGCAGAAAGAUUGCAAAAAUAGUACAGAGAGUUCUCACCUACCCUUUGCCUGACUUUCCGCAAGGUUAAUAUCUUACAUUACAAUGGUGCACUUGUCAAAACCAUGGAAUUAACAUUGGUACAUUACUAUUAACUAAAAUCCAGACUUUAUUUGGAUUUUGCCAGUUUUUCCACUAAUGCUCUUUGUCUAUUCCAGGGUCUAGUCCAAAGACUACCAAAUCUUAAGUGAACAAAAAGCCUUGGCGAUGAUGUAAAAGUUUGUUUGCUAAUGGAAUAAAGAUUUGAUAUUAGGGCAGUGUAAUUAUAGGUGAUAUUUUUUCCUAUGUUUAAAGCUUUAACACUUUUGUUACAUUAACUAUUUAGGAGAUGUUAUUAUUGGAAGCCUCCUGUACUGUGAGAGGCUGGCAUUGUCCAACUCAAACCAAGUUGUGGACUGGAAGAAGCACAAAUUAUCUGCUGGACCCAUGGUAUGAGGGAAAAGCAUGUGUGAGUAUGUGUUGAGGAGUGUAGGUGAUGGGAGAGCUGGUCCACCGUUUGUCACUAAGGAGGAACAGGAAGUGGCAGGGGCUGGAUGCACCUACAUUCUGCCUUGUCAGUCUGUAAUCCAGUGAUUGGUAAAUCUAGAAGUGACUUCAAAGAUUUCUUCAAAAUUGGCUUCUGAGGUUCUUAGAAAAAACAUUUAUUAAACAUCUACAGUUUUCUAAGCUUUCUGUUGGCUGCCUUACAUAUACUGUCUCCUAGAAUCCUCAAAAUAAGAUGUCUAUAUUCCCUUUUUAUCUUAUUUUAUUUAUUUCUGAGACAGAGUCUCACUCUCUUGCCCAGGCUGGAGUGCAAUGGCAUGAACACAGCUUACUGCAGCCUCAACCUCCUGGGCUAAAGUGAUCCUCCUGCCUCAGCCUCCCAAAGUGCUGUGAUAUCAGAAGGGAGUCACAAUGCCAGGCCCAUAUUCCCAUUUUAAAAUUCAAAAGAGAGGUCAGAGAGGAUAAGUGACUUGCCCAAGGACACACAGCUUGUCAGUGACAGAGCAAGGAUUUAAACUCAGGUUUUUCUGAGCUUAUUGGUUUUUGAUGUUCCAAAUUACACUUUUUUGACAUCUCCUCAAAAAAAGUCUUUUUGGAAUUUGACAUCAAAGGGAGGUCCUAACAUUCUACUGGGCAUUUGGCUAAGAGGCCUGAAGGGAUACCUAGCGAAAGAAUAAGAAGGUUUCAGGAGGCACAGUGGAGUUUUACGUGUGGAUGUGUGUUUGCAGAGUUGAUGUAGAUUUCAAUCUCUCACUGCUCUCUCCCUCAGCUGAACAAUAAUAAGAAAUCUUGUGUCAUCUGGUUAAAACUAGCAUUCUGGAGGUUUUGGAGCGGGGCCAGCAUGUGCAUGAAUGAGCAGGGCUCAGUCAGCCUCCAGGUCCAUUCAGGGGUUCCCUUGAAACUGACCAAGUUGAGUUUCCUGAGUUGGAUGCUUGGGAAACCUCCAACUUGGGUUUGAGGGUUCACAUGUGCAUUCAUGCACACAUACGUGCACAUGCAUGCACAUUCACGCACACACAUACAUGCACACACACGCACACAAUAAAUAAAGCAGAAUGAAAAAGCUGGAGGCACCCCAGUGUGCCCUAUUUACAAACCGCUUACUUCCUUCCGGGUGUUAUUUGAUUUUCUCCUUCACUGAGAAAUGGGGAGACAUCAGAAUGAGUGAUGUGCUGGAGAGAGGCCUCCCAACCAUCCCUCAGUCUCCCUCGCCCCCUCGGUCUCUUUCGUGUGACAGGAUGCCCUCAAUUACUCUCUCUGGGGGGGUCCCAGUCAGAAAGAAGAUGGAGCCAACCAUCUGUUACCGACUCAGUGAGCAAUUUAAUUUCCUCUUGUUCCCAGUGAGGAGGAUUUCGUAAGUACAUAAAUUAACGUCAGUCCUGCUUAAUCAGAAGCUGGCCGUCUAAAAGGGUGGAGACGGUCAAGCCAGAGACACCCACUGACCAGGUCCUACCAGGAGGACAUCUUGCACGCUGGUAGGAAAACCAUAUGAGAGAAAUGUCAGACACAGAAACUUCCUUAGGGAUCAUCGAAUCUGACACCUCUUUUAUAACUGAGGAAAUCAGAGCCAGAAAGGAAAAACAAUCUGUCUAGCUAGGCAGGGCAGAGUUAGGACUUGAACUAAAGAGCCCCAAUUCCCAAAAUCACUCUUCCCAACACAACACAAGGUAGAACAAUGACUUGAUUACUCGACCUUGGGUUUGAUCUCUAGAGGUAGAAUAAGAAAACAAUAGUCAUGAUAACAAUGACAACCUCAAGAGCUACACUGUAUGUAGCCGGCACUGAGAGAGGCAGACAGUGUGGAUUUAUUGAGUGGGCUCUGGAGCCAGGCUGCCUGGGUUUAAAUCCCAGUUCUGUCACUUACUAGCUGUUGGUCGGAGGGCAAGUUCUUAACCUCUGGGAUUUAGAGCAGACAUUCUGAGUUCGUGGCAUCUAUCCCUUCAGAUCCCUUCAGUACUUGCCUCUGAUCCAGCCCCACUUUCUAUGGCCAGCACCUGCAUCUUUGUUGCAGGGCUGUGCUUGGGCUUCCAGAACCCACUUUGUCAAUGUGCUCUUUGUCAAUGUGCAGGCCCAGUCUUCUGGGGGCAGCUUUGAACCAACGACCGACAGAUAAUGAGGGUAUAAAUGCCCCAACUCCCUUGCCUCUUGACUGGGAUAGUUCCAAGGCACGUGUUUUGCACUGUUUUUCACAGUUUCCCUGAAAGAUUAAGCACUAGUUACCCACUGUAGUAGCUGACUUAAUCAUGCGGUUAUUGGCUGGCUUCCCUUUUCUUGAUGUUACCCAUGCUCUUUGCACCUCUCCAGAAAUUAUUUCCACUUGAGAUCUUGUCUCAGGAUCUGUCUCUGGUUGGUUAGUCCAAGAUCAGACAGUGCCUCAGCUCUCUCAGCUAUAAAACUAUGAUAAUAAUAGUUCUUAUAUCACAGAGUUGUUACGGCUAAAUGGCCUAAAAUGCAAAGAACAAUGCCUGCCACUUAGUGAGAAUUCAACAAAUAUUAGCUAUGUGUCUGAUAAACACUUAUUUCAUUAUCUCAUUAAGUCCAUACUGUACAUACUAUUACUACCAUUAUACAAAUAAGACCAUCCAAGCUCAGAGAGGUUAAAUACUUCUCCCGAAGACCUGUAGUUGUAAGGAAAAUGUCAAGAUCCAAACACAAAUUCACUUUCAAAGUUCCUUCCAUUUUUGCCUUGGCCAGGAGGUUAUCCUCAGUACUCCCAGUCUGGGUCAAGGGUCCCUCCUCUUGUGCUCCUGCGACCUCAGCCACAGCAUUUGCUUCAGGGUAUUAAUAUGGCCCUCCUGCUCGUUGAACUGUUCCUUUAAGCUAUGAGCUAGGCAUCUCUGUAAGCUCAGCAUCUAGCCCAAUGCCCAGCACAUAGUAGGUUCUGGUGAGUGCUGAAUAAAUGACUACACAAAUCCAAGCAGUGCGUAAGCUGCAGAGGCAGGCAGAGGGUGAAGCCCGGCAUGAAAGUCUGUCUCAUGGCCUUCAGAUUUCAAUUGGAAGCAUCUUGGAAAUCUUCCCAGGCAAUUCUCUUCUCCUCCCACUCCUACUGCAGACAGGAUUUGCAAAUAUGGUUGGAUAGGUCUCUUGCGGGGGUUCCACAAUUUCAUCAAGGUGUCUAGUCCUCCCUAAAAUCUUGUCAGGAAGACAAGGAUCUCCCAGGUGACCACGUAGAGAUAAGCAGGAAUCUCAUCACAGUAACUGCUCCAUGUGAAGUCAUGCUGGACUGGCAGAAGCUUCCAAGGACUGUUACAAAAUAUGAGAAAAAGUAGGCAGGAGAUGAAAAGUGGGUUAAUGAGGCUGAAAAUACAGAUCUUCUAAUGAUAGUGAUGGUCUAAUCACCCCCAGCUCUUUUGAAUGCUUUAUACAGACGGGCCUCAACAUAUUGUUUAAGAAUCCACAUUCUGGAGUCAACAUUGCCUGAGUUUGAAUCUUUCUCUGUCACUUACUAGCUGUGUGGUCCUGGACAAAUUAUUCAGUCUCUCUGUGCCUCAUUUGUCUUACUUGUAAAAUGGGCAUGAUACCUACUUUCCUCACAGGAUUGCAUAAAUAAAUAGCAUGUAAAAUGCUGGGGCCAGUGGUCUCGCACAGAGUAAGCAAGUAGGCAAUUGCUGGUUUUUACCAGGCACUGAAUAACACUUAAAGUAAUAAAGAGUGGACUAAGACAAUCUCUGUUCUCAAAAAGCUCAGAAUCUAGGGUUCAGGUCACUAAACUUUUUUGAUUAUAUACCCCUUCUAUAAUAAAGAGCUUGAGCAUGUUCCUCCAAUAAAUGUUUCUUUACUGAAGGGAGAUGAACAAUGAAACCAAGAAGAAGGUACUGAGGAGUACAGAGAAGCAGUAUUCAGCCCAGCCCUGGGGGUGGUGACCAGUGGAAGUCAUGAAAGGCUUCCUGGAGGAGGUGAUACUUGAACCAGACACUGGCACUGGACACCUGAGGAGCAUGUGAAUGUCCAGACACUGCUGGCUCUCUGUACACGUGUGGUGUCUCCAGGGCCCCGGGCAAGCCUCUGAAGGUCACAGGAGUAAGUGAGCUGCUAGCAGCAAACAUAAGCAGGAGGGAUCCCAGAACGUGAGGGCAGGGGCGGAGUCGAGGAAACAAAUAGUGCCCAGCAUGCUGGCCUUCUUUUAGUUCACUGAAUGCUCCCAGCUGUCUGCUUCCUACCUGAGGCCCUUCGUACCUGCUGCACAACUGCCCGGAACCCUCUCUAGCCCAUUUCAUAUGGCUAACUUCUCUCAUCCUUUCCAUCACAGCUAAAUGCCAUUUCCCCAGAGAAGCAGUCUGACCCUCAAGACUUGAUUAGGCCCAUCUAUUAUUUGUUCUCAAUGCAACCUACAUUUUCCUGCCUGCGACUUCAUAGCAAAUUGUAAGUAAUUAUGUAUGUAAUUAGUCCCCAUGUAUUAGGCAGAAUUCUGUCAUAUGCAAAUGACAGAAAACUCAAACUAGCUGGAACGAAAAGAGUGGAAUGUCUUGGGUAGCUGGAAAGGGUGUGAGUGCGACUCAGAAUGGAAGGACAGACGGAUUGCAGCCACCGGGGCCUCAGGGAGAGGACAGGGUCUCCACACAGUCAGAUUCUUUCUCUCUCCUCAUCUCUGAGGUUUGCUUGACCUCCUCUGCUAAUACUGCACAUAUGGAGGGAACAUGGUCACUGGCAUCUCCAGGUCCACACCUCACAGCUGCUGGAAAGGUGUGAUCCCCCUGCAUGAGUCAAAUACCCACCCACAGAACUGUCUCCACCUAGGACGUGGAGAUGGGCUACUGUGAAUGGCUGGGCCGUGGUCAUGUGCUCACCCUGCUCAGCACUGCCACUGAGAGGGCCCUCAGUGUCACAUGACCUGGAAGGGCAGUGCUACUCCUCAAAGGAUGUGUUAGGGUGCGGCAGGCCCACAACAUUUGUAUCUUUUUUAAUGCUAUAUCCCCCACAAAUACUUACAGAUAUUUUCUACUAGGUGUCAGCCACUGUUCUAGGUAGUAGAGGAUAUGAAAGUAAAAUCUAAGUUCUUGCUUGCAUUAGAGCUUAUACUGGAAUGGGGGAAGACAGAAAGCAAGCAUGUUAAUAAUCACAAAUGUCUCAGGUGGUGAUAUGUGCUCUGGAGAAGAACAAAACCGGGUACAGAGGGUGGGGGAUGGUGAAGGGACACUAUAUUCCGCAGCAUGGUUAGAGAUGGCAUGUUGAAAGUGGCACAGGCAGUACCAGAUGGUGAGGCUCUUCCGUGUUGUUCUGAUGGAUUGGAACUGAGUCCUCCUGCCCGGCUUUCUCCCUCCUUUUCUUCUCUCCCUUCCUCUGUUCAUUCUUUUGCAGUUUUUCUUAAAAUGUAGUCUUUAGAUUGUAUGUAUCAGAAUACCCACUGGGGGCAGGAUACUUGUCAAAAAUGCAGGUUCCCAGGCCUCUCCCAAGACCCAGAGAUUCAGACUCUCCGAGGUGAGGCCUGAGAAUCUGAAUCAUUAACCAGCUCUCCAGGCGGCUCUUAGGCACAUUCACAUUUGACAACUAUUCUCUGAGGUGGUAAUGAGAUAAGAGAGGCUCUGAAUAGGGAAGAAAACUGAUCUCACUUGUGUUUUAGAAAGAUAGGUCUGAAAUCUACACAGAGGGUGGCUGCAGGCCCAGAGACUGGGCUGUUGUCGAGGUCCCAGAGACCAAGAGAAAACAUGUGGCCAGAGGUGCUGGGACAGAGAGAAUGUUUAGGUGACAAAUGGAAAGGAACUGGUGACUGCUUGAGUGUGGGGAUGAAGGAGAAGAAGUGGUUCAAAGGCUUCCUCUGGUCUGACUAGGGUAUGUGGGGGUAGCAAUACCAUUCACCCAAAUGGGAAGUGCAAACAUCGCUGACACUGCACUUCUUUAUUUAAAUACUCUACAACCAAGAAGUAAUUUUAGAGUCCCAUAUUAGAGGAGUAGCUUUUGACUACAUUGAGCAGUUGGAUACAAACGUUCUUAAUUGUUUAUUUUCUUUCUUAUCUUCCUAGUAUUUCUACUUUUUUGAGCUUCUGAACCUUUACCCAAAAGGAGUUGGUGUUAACGACUUGUUUUUGUAAUCUCUGAUAUUAGUGUGAUUCAUUUGCCAAGGGGAGACCAUUAAGAAGGAGCCAACUUCAUCUCCAUGGCAUGGAGUGAGAGGUGGGGAAUGAUACUGAAGAGCUAAGAGAUUCAAUGCACUAAGAAUAUGGUGACCAGAACUUCUGGUUGUUCCAACUGGGAAUCUUGGGUGAAGUUGGCUGCUCUGUUGGAGAAAGCUCCCCAUUCCCACAUACCUGUAUAGAAUCCUGUAGGAUAGGGGAUAUUUCCUUAUCUCUCUUCACUCUCCUCCAAAGCUCCAAUGGAUGUAUUCUAGGUACAACUAGCUAAUAAUUGAGUGUAAGAAUUAUAUUAGAUAAUGCUUAAAAAAUUCUUGGCACUCCAUGCCACUCCACUUCAUUUCCUCAAUGAAGGAGGCUGGGCAGAUAUUACUAGCCUCCUUCUACACAUUCAGAGAAAUGAAGUGACUUGCCUGCGAUCACAGAGCCAAGAUAAAGAUCUGGCUUCAAAUCUUGGCCAGUUGUAUUUUAAAGUUUCUGUGUUUUUCACCACAGAGUAGGUGAGGCUGGGCAAACUGUGAGGACCUCAGUUAAACAGGCUGGUGCUGGGGAUGGCUUCUAUGCCAGGAGGAAAGAUCAUGACUAGUCUGAGAAGCUGAAGCAGCAGCCAUCUGAUCCUCUACUCCAUGGUGGCCCUUUCCAGACUACAGACUGUGGUUUCUCUGCUCAUCAGCAAUCAAAUCUAAAUUAUCUCCGAUAUUUGUUCAAUAACUCAGACGUGCUAAGGUUAGCUGUCUUAUAAAUUAUGGAACAGUUUAACUGAGUUAAGCCUGAGGCAUAAAUAACAGAGACUCUCCACCCAGUGACAGGGCACAAGGCUGGAGGCAGCAAAAACACAGUAAUAGUGACAGAAAAAAGGACUAUCUUCCUCUUUUAGGAGAAGCCUGACAGGGAGGAGGAAAGUAGAUGAGAAGGGGGCUAGGCAGGAGGGAAUUCCAGGACGAGGGGAUGACAGAGCAAAGGAAACAGGCCCUGGGGAAGAGGAGGAGCUUUGUGGAGGCAGAAGCUCAGUUUACUGGUGAACAUGAAAUCAUCCUUGGGGGUGUCUGUGGGACGUCCAGUGGAGGUGUCUGAUGAGUGCCUGAACACAUGGGUUACCGCUUCUCUGUUAAAAUGUGGGAAACAGCUAUAAUGCAUAAGAUAUGAGUGGUAGCUACGACCAUGGGGGAAAAACAAGGUCAUGGAAAGCAUAUAGAGUAAGGAAAGAAAAGAAAAUUGGUGAGAAUGGAACAUCAGCAAUUGAGUAUACAGGAGAAAGAUAAGCCAGUCAUAGAGACAGAGACAGAAAGGCUAGAAUCUGAACAGAAAAAAAGUUCUACCAGAGUUCAGAAUCCUGAGGGAGGAGGAUGCAGCCAUUGCUAGAUAUGGGGAAAUAGACAAAAGCAGAGAAAAAAUACCCUGACUGCUCUCCUCCUGCCCACCAAUCUCCCAUUGGAUGAACCCAAUCUGAAGUCAACCAGUAAAGGGGUCCCAAGUAAUGCAAUCCACAAGGCCUGACUCUCAAAGAUGCAAGUCCUUGAGGGCAUCUGCUAUUUCCUACAUUCUGGAAAUGAGAGUUUUGAGAACAUAGGAGUGCUCAGGGAACAAUGUCAAAUGAUACUAAGGCUCCUUCACUGGAAGUCUUUGAUGGUUUUGGAGGAAGAAGCUUUGGUAAAAUGGUUGGAGCUGAAGCUUGACUGCUGGGUGGGGAGACUGUGGAGACUGUGAAAUUAGGUUAUUUUUCAGGAAGUUUGAGAAGGAAGUGAGUGAGCUGGGACAUGCAGGGGAUGCACUUUGUUUAAUUUUCUAAAUGUGACUCAUAUCUUUGGGGUGUCAAAGCAACAUCUUAAUGUUGCAGUGUACCAGGCUGGACUUUGGUUCUUUUCUCCACCUAUAACGUUACACACACUGUAUUGGUGACGUAUCCAUUCUAAUGGCAUUAAAUGCCAUCUAUAUGGUGAUAAAUCCCAAAUUUAUGUCUCCCACUCAGAUCUCUUUCUUAAACCCAAGACUCAUAGAUAUCCUUAACUCAACAAGUCAAAAAGGAAUCCUCCAUUUUCCUUCUUCCUAAAUCAGCUCCAUCUGCAGCCUCCUCCAUCUCUAGGAAGCAACUUCAUCCUUUCUACUUCUCUGCUGUUCUGACAUGAAAUCAUCCUUUUUUUUUUUUUCUUUUUCUCAUGUCCUACAUCCACGCCCUCAGGAAAUCCUGUUGGCUCUACUGUUUAUAUCCAGAGAGCUACUACUGUAUUCACAGAGCUACUACUUCUCACCAUCUCUACUAUUACUGUAGUCUCAGGCAUCAUCCUUGCUAUUCUUGCUUGGAUUAUUUCAAUAGCCUCUUAUGCUAAUUCUGCCUUUCCUUGCCCCUUAACGUCUGUUCUCAACACAGUAGUAAGAGUGAUCCUUUAGAAAUCCAAGUCAGAUAAUGUCACUUUUCUGAUCAAAACCCAACCAUGGACCCCAUUUCACUCAAUCAAAGCCAAAGUUCUUCAGUAGCCUACAUGAUCUGUGUCCUUAUAUUUCUCUUUUUGAUGUCACCUCUCUUUAUACUUGCCCAUACUCUACUUCUACCUCAUUGGCCUCCUUGCUGUUUUUCAAGAACUCCAAGAAGCUCCCACCUGGGAGCUUUUGCAUUGCCUCUCCCUUCUGCUAGAAUAUUCUUCCUCCAAAUAUUCAUGUGGUUAACUCCCUGCUAUGGUUUGAAUGUGUCCCCCAAAGUUUAUGUGCUAAAAAAUUUAUACCCAAUACAACAAUGUGGAGAGGUUGGACCGUUAAGAGGUGAUUAGGUCAUGAGUGCUCUGCCCUCAUAAAUGAGUUAAUACUAUUCUUUCAGGAAUGGGUUAUUGUGUGAAUGGGUUCCUGAUUUAAAAAAUCAGUUCAGCCUUUUCUCUUUCUCUCUCUCUCUCUCUCCCCCGCCUCCCCCCCUCCACACAGACACAGACAAGCACACACACACACAAACACACACACACACACACACACACUCUCUCUCUCUCUCUCUCUCUCUCUCUCUUAUGCAUGGACUCUCUUGCCCUUCAGCCUUCUACCAUGGGAUGUCGCAGCACAAAGUCUCUUGCCAGAAGCUGGUGUCAUCUUCUCGGACUUCCCUGCUCCAGAACCAUGAGCCAAAUAAAUUCCUGUUCAUUAUAAA